rfam:Punica granatum cultivar Dabenzi scaffold144, whole genome shotgun sequence.
UUGCUCUAGGGAUGAACAAGUCCCUCACAUGGAACUCUCAAUCCAUCUGCUUCACUUUGUCAUAAGUUAUUUUUCACUCUCUUGCUGAUCAUUGGCCAAUGGAAUAUCC